UCCGCACCUGCAUAUGACUGGGUUUAUCAUAACAUGGAACUAAACUUGGGCAUUCUAAUUAGUCAUGUCCUUAGUCGCAUCAUAAGUGAUUCAACAAUAGAAGAUUGUCUUCUUGCAUUGUGUCAGUGGUGUAGAUACACUAGAACAAGCAUGUUAGAAAGACAGUGGCAACUGCAAAGAUAAGCUACUAAGGUUCUUGUUGAAAAAGUAAAUGGAACUUACAGCAUUUCUUGCAUCAGAUGGAUGAGACUCUGGCAGUCCCUGCAAUGAUAUUUCAGGAAUUGAUACCUGCGCACAAUAUCCAAGCUGAAAGUCCACCCCCCAUGCAUGAACGAAGUCAUUCUGUAAUAUCAAACUUACCAAAUUCAAUAAGAAAUUUGGUGUACGACUAGUGUGUUAAGAUCUGAAAGCAUACCUGAAUUAUGUACCAGGCACAGCGCCACGAUGCUCUUGAAAAAACAGGAGCCAUCAUUUCCACCCACCUGCAUGUUAAUUCGAAAUUCAAAGAUGGAUAGGAAAGAUGUGAAAUGAAACACAAUUCUUUCUGCCUAUUAAUAUUACCCAGUGCAUGGAGGUUCAGUACUGUCUCCGUAGCACCUCCUUCCAGGACCCUUUAUGUUUAUUGUCCUCCUGUUUCAACCAUAAGAGUACAUCCUUUCAAGAAGAUCCAACUUAUUACUGAUAAACCAGUCACUGAUCAUGAAAGUAAUAAUACCUGUGCACUCUUGAUCCCUCUUCUCGUGCUGUGGAGAUUAUUUUUCUGGUUGACAU